rnacentral:lncRNA from 1 species
UAUCCAUUUUAAAGAUAGGAUUUCUUAUUUUCUUAUUCUUAUAUUCUUGUCUUUUUCCAAUAUAUUCUCUGUAGAUAUCUGUAAAUCUUUCCGAUGUAGACGGAGGCAUACACAAAAAUCUAUUCAAGUAUGAACAGUGCAGAAAAGAGUUUGUGAUAUGACAGGUGACGUGAACACAACUCACUCUCUAAUGUGACAUGGAGUACUAAGAAAAAAUGUUUUUUCAGGGUCUUAAUAGGGAAAGUAUUGCAAAUCACUGCUUUGGAGUCUCUACAACAGAUAGAUGCUGAGCAUUGGCACCUGAUCAUUGAGCACAUCUAAACUGCCUGCUUCUUGAAUCUGCAUUUCUUUGCACAGAGAGCCACAGGGAAUAGUAUCCAUGCAGAGUGGACAGUAGUCUGAUGGACGGGGCAUCCUCAUGGAGACACAGGCGCAAAACGUGGGCCUCUUGCUCCUGAGGUAUCAGACAUGUGCAAUCCAUCAAAGAGACAGCCCAAGUGCAGGGUCAGGCACACAAAAUGUAGGCAUUAAGUUCUCUCAAAGGAUAGCUUGAUGAUACAGUCCAGUUCAUUUAUCAUUGAUACCGAGAGAAGACAGUCGUUCCCCAGCACCAGCCACGCUGCACUUUUCUGCCAAAUCCUGAGCUGAUUCAACUCACCAAGAACUGUUGCAGUGACUACAGAGGGAACAGCAGGACAGACAUCCUUUCCCAAGAGGAAAGGGCAUCCCAGCGUGUUAUCUUAACCUGUUGUUGGAGAGAUAACAACGCCGAAGGCUCAGCAGUAGGGGAAGUAAAGAAAGCCACUUCGUUCCAAAAGGCGCUUCUGACAAUGGCAGUUUUAACUAAGGCGGCAGCUGUGAAAUAAUGCUUUCACUGUUUGCAGUGAUCCUAUAUAUCUGGCUGUGGACUCACUGAUAACAUAAUAACAUUUUUCUAUGGUGAAAAAGGAGGCUGGAUAUGUAACUUAACUAUAAAGAAACAUAUCGUGUAUCACACAGUCUUAUUUAGGCAGCUCAGCAAAGGACUUACAUCCAUGUUUAAUCACAUGCUUAUACCAUUAGUAAUGCUAAGGUGCUUAAGCUACUAGCAGCAUGAAGAUGGAUGGACAUGUACUCAAAAAUGAAGCAUAGACUUAACUGCUUUUAAGAAUUCUAGCCUUAAAAUGUUGCUGAUGUUACAUGGAAAUCUUUGGAAACAUUCUGUAUUAUUUGUAGAAACACUUCUAUAGGAAAAAAAAAUUCCUUGCUUUGGAUUUCCUCUUUCAUGUUCCUUUCUUAAAAGCAUUUGCCUGAAAAAACUCCUGAGCUUUUUCUAUUCUACAAAAAUACGUAAAUAAUACUUUAUUUUACAAUGCUUGCUUCUCAAAUUCUGAGCAAUUUGCUCUGAAAAACAGAAGUCAGCGAUUUAGCUGAAAAGGUUCCUGGAACUGCUGAGGGGAAGACCCAGUUUUUCUGUCUUCCCCACAGUGCUUGAGUCACCAGAUCCUACUGCUGCUUUAUUUCAAUUUGUGUUUUUACUGCCAGGAAUAUCUGCAAGCCUCAUGAAGUAAUGCUUCUUCCAUGUUAAGCUAAAAGAUAUAAUGAGCAGAUGUUUCAGACACUGAACUAAAAAUCAGGCUAUUCAGAGAUUUAAUAAAUUUAUACUCUGCUUUCCUUUGCUUCUGCA